rnacentral:sRNA from 1 species
GGGGAGCGGCAGGCCC